UGCAGUCGAGCGAGAAGGUCUUCGGACUGAGUACAGCGGCGGACGGGUGAGUAACGCGUAGGAAUCUACCCAGUAGUGGGGGACAACUUGGGGAAACCCAAGCUAAUACCGCAUACACCCUAAGGGGAAAAGCGGGGGCUCUCUUCGGAGACCUCGCGCUAUUGGAUGAGCCUGCGUCGGAUUAGCUAGUUGGUGGGGUAAAGGCCUACCAAGGCGACGAUCCGUAGCUGGUCUGAGAGGACGAUCAGCCACACUGGGACUGAGGCACGGCCCAGACUCCUACGGGAGGCAGCAGUGGGGAAUAUUGCGCAAUGGGCGAAAGCCUGACGCAGCCAUGCCGCGUGUGUGAAGAAGGCUCUAGGGUUGUAAAGCACUUUCAGUGGGGAGAAAAGGCUCAAGGUUAAUAGCCUUGAGAGUUGAUGUUAUCCACAGAAGAGGCACCGGCUAACUCCGUGCCAGCAGCCGCGGUAAUACGGAGGGUGCAAGCGUUAAUCGGAAUUACUGGGCGUAAAGCGCGCGUAGGCGGUUUGCUCAGUCGGAUGUGAAAGCCCCGGGCUCAACCUGGGAAUUGCAUUCGAUACUGGCAGACUUGAAUACGGGAGAGGGAGGUAGAAUUCCACGUGUAGCGGUGAAAUGCGUAGAUAUGUGGAGGAAUACCAGUGGCGAAGGCGGCCUCCUGGCCUGAUAUUGACGCUGAGGUGCGAAAGCGUG
rnacentral:rRNA from 1 species